rnacentral:rRNA from 1 species
CCUACGGGUGGCAGCAGUGAGGAAUAUUUGUCAAUGGACGCAAGUCUGAACCAGCCAUGCCGCGUGCAGGAAGACGGCUCUCUGAGUUGUAAACUGCUUUUGUACGAGGGUAAAUCCCGAUACGUGUAUCGGGUUGAAAGUAUCUUACGAAUAAGGAUCGGCUAACUCCGUGCCAGCAGCCGCGGUAAUACGGAGGAUUCAAGCGUUAUCCGGAUUUCUUGGGUUUAAAGGGUGCGUAGGCGGUUCGUUAAGUUAGAGGUGAAAGCCCGGGGCUCAACUCCGGCACUGCCUCUGAUACUGUCAGGCUAGAGUUUAGUUGCGGUAGGCGGAAUGUAUGGUGUAGCGGGGAAAUGCAUAGAGAUCAUACAGAACACCGAUUGCGAAGGCAGCUUACCAAACUACGACUGACGUUGAGGCACGAAAGCGUGGGGAGCAAACAGGAUUAGAUACCCGAGUAGUC